ensembl:lncRNA
AAAAUGUCUGUUAGUCUCUCUGUGUGUGUGUGUGUGUGUGUGUGUGUGUGUGUGUGUGUGUGUGUGUGUGUGUGUGUGUUGAAAGAGAUGGCCUGUAUCCCAGACUUGAUUCUGGGUUAAAUUGCACUCUUUGCAAGUACUACUAGUGCUUUUAAAAUUUAUAAAGCAACGUAAACGAACAACGGCCAUAGAUUCGUGAUUAUUAUCCACGUCUAGUCAAGCCUAUGAAUUAUAUCCUUCUGUAAUCUCUCUAAAACACCGUAAGUAAAAUCUAGAUGAUGUAAUGGCCAUUUUGAAGUCUUAUCCUAAUACUAAAUAAGUCAGACAUCAGUCAAGUAAUUGCUUUGACGAUACUAACCUUCAGUCUCAAGCGCAGUCAUCAUAUUCGCUCAAAACUCAUAACUGAUGAUAGUAUGGAUGAUCUAUCUUUUACUCUCUCACUUCAGCGCACUGCAGAUGUUCAAGGUUAUUAUUGCUAAGUUUGCUUUCUGGGUGCCAAAUACUCAAUAAGACAAUGACAGUAUUCUGUAGAGCUUAAAUGUACUGGUUUUUGUUCUAUUAUUCAAGCUCAUCUAUUCUUAUACUACCACAUAUCAGUUUGAGGGGGUAAGUAUAAGACUCAAGGUCUGUAAGUUGAGAUUUUGUCGAGCUAAAAGUAUAUGGACUGUAGCGAUGAGAGCUGUAAGAUGCCAAGUAGACAGUGUAUGGCAAUGUUGAUAGUCAAACGUCAUUUAGGAAUUGCGGAUGUGGUGGUCAUACUCAAACUGUUCCCAAAUCCUGUUGUCCCCUUAAAGUCUCUGCUGUUCUUCUGCCUUGCUAUCUAGAGCAUGUACAACAAUCCUCUUUUAAUGCCAACAACAGAAACAAUGAAUUAACAAGAUACAAGGUACAAUCAGCAUGGAAAGAAAGGAACGUUUGAAUUUGAGCUCCUUUGCUGGAGAUGAAAGUUCUGGGAUUUGUUGGGGGAGGGAAGGAAGGGUAGGUCGGAAAAGGUUCUUAAAGCAGUUGCUUGUGUUAACUGUGAAUGACAAAAAUAAAAUCAUCUUCAAUGUUUUGCAC